UACGUAGGGGGCUAGCGUUGUCCGGAAUCAUUGGGCGUAAAGAGCGUGUAGGCGGCUCGGAAAGUCGGUCGUGAAAUGCCGGGGCUCAACCCCGGGACUGCGUCCGAUACUCCCGAGCUGGAGGCAGGUAGGGGAGAUCGGAAUUCCUGGUGUAGCGGUGAAAUGGCGCAGAUAUCAGGAGGAACACCCGAUGGCGAAGGCAGGUCUCUGGGCCAAGCUACUGACGCUGAGAAGCGAAAGCGUGGGGAGCGAACAGG
rnacentral:rRNA from 1 species